UCUUCAUUUUACUCAUGGGGAAACUGAAGGCCAGGGAUGGGAAUUGCCCAGGUUCACAAAGGAAUUUAACAAUGGAGCUGGCUUCUGAUUCCCAGGGCAGUGUUCUUUCUAUUCUACCUGCUGAUGAGUGGAGUAAGAGGUCAGAAGACCUGGGGAAAGAUAAGCAACUAAGCUAUCCUAAAAAUAGUUCAGCAAUUUAAAACCCUACCUUCUCAGAGAGUCCAGACACGAGGCCUUCAAUCCAGAGCCAAGGAGUAGCCUGUUUUUUACAGAAGCAUGUAAGAUUACACAGAUGCCAGGAAUUAUUGUUACCAAUAUUAUCACUUAAAAAAAAUCUUCCAGAUGGAUUGCCACAAAGAUGAGAAAGGCACCAUCUAUGACUAUGAGGCCAUCGCACUUAAUAAGAACGAAUACGUUUCCUUCAAGCAGUAUGUGGGCAAGCACAUCCUCUUCGUCAACGUGGCCACCUACUGUGGUCUGACAGCGCAAUAUCCUGAUUUUCAGGAGAAUCAAUAUAUACUUGAGAACUAGGAGCCUCUCAGAAGAUUCCAGAAGUCUUCUUGAUAAAUACAGGGCAGAAGACCCAUGUUUUUGAGACUUUUGCAAGGUUUUACAGAAUUAAAUGCACUCCAGGAGGAGCUGAAGCCCUAUGGUCUAGUUGUGUUGGGCUUUCCCUGCAACCAAUUUGGAAAGCAAGAACCAGGAGAUAACAAAGAGAUUCUUCCUGGGCUCAAGUAUGUCCGUCCAGGGGGAGGAUUUGUACCUAAUUUCCAGCUUUUUGAGAAAGGGGAUGUGAAUGGUGAAAAAGAACAGAAAGUCUUCGGCUUCUUGAAGCACUCCUGUCCUCAUCCCUCUGAGAUUUUGGGCACCUUCAAAUCUAUAUCCUGGGACCCUGUAAAGGUCCAUGACAUCCGUUGGAACUUUGAAAAGUUCCUGGUGGGGCCCGAUGGAAUCCCUGUCAUGCGCUGGUCCCACCGGGCUACGGUCAGCUCAGUCAAGACAGACAUCCUGGCGUACUUGAAGCAAUUCAAAACCAAAUAGGAAGGUGGAGUUAAGGGCAGGAGCAAUCCUACUUCUCACCUAAUGACUUGCUCCCCCCCUCCCCCCAAAAAAGGAAUAUCCAUCUUCUCACCACAUUCUCUUCCUGCAUGGGCUCCUCCUGAGUAAAUCACCUCCACAUACUGCCAGAAUUCCCACUCUCCACAAACUAGAUUUAUAUUUGGAAGGCUACUGCUCUUUUGCCUCUCAAGAGUAUGUGGGUGAAGACUGAAAAAAAUGGAAACCUAAAAUCCCCAGACCUCUGUUACAGGUUGAAUCAUUCUUAUCCACCAGAGGGAAAUCAUCCUUCCACGACAAUGGUUCAGUCAGCCAUCACAUCCUGAAGAAGAACAUUCCUAGACAUUCUGACUUUUCCAUCUCUCUCCACCCUGGAGGUGUAGAAAUAGCAAUGGGGUCAUAGUCACACAAUUUAGUUUCCACUUCAUAACAUUUUUUGUCUCCUAGGACAAACAUGUAUCAUCAGUUUCCAACUGUUUUGGCUCAGUUUUCAUCCAUGACACCUCCCCCCACCAGCCAUUCUCCUGUGGGAGCAAGAACAUUGCUUCAAAAGAAGAGAGGGCAUCUCCGUGCUGGUGGGACCCAGAACCUGUCUCUGGCCCUACAAAAGUUUUCCUUAUUGUCUGAUCUUUAGUGCAUUCAGGUUAUGGCACCUGGACAGGAAUGCCCUUUAUCUUGUGAACGAUGGGAUUUCCCAUCUCAACCCUGGAUUCCUCAGCUUCAGAACAAGCCCUGCCACUGUCUCCAAUAAAAUGUUUUCUGCAGCAUCGA
rnacentral:sRNA from 1 species